ensembl:snRNA U6 U6 spliceosomal RNA
GUGCUCACUUCAGCAGCACAUAUACUAAAAUUGGAACGACACAGAGAAGAUUAGCAUGUCCCCAGAACAAGGACGACAUGCAAAUUAGUGAAGCAUUGCAUAUUUUU